rnacentral:rRNA from 1 species
AGCGAACGCUGGCGGCAGGCCUAACACAUGCAAGUCGAGCGCCCGUAGCAAUACGGGAGCGGCAGACGGGAGAGUAACACGUGGGAACGUACCCUUCAGUUCGGAAUAACCCGGGGAAAC